rnacentral:tRNA from 1 species
GGGGCUGUAGUUCAGUGGUAGAGCGCUUGCCUGGCACGUGUGAAGCACUGGAUUCAAUCCUCAGCACCA